rnacentral:rRNA from 1 species
CCUACGGGAGGCAGCAGUAGGGAAUUUUCGGCAAUGGGGGGAACCCUGACAGAGCAACGCCGCGUGAACGAAGAAGUUAUUCGUAAUGUAAAGUUCUUUUAACAGGGAAGAAAGAGAAAUUUGACGGUACCUGAAGAAUAAGCUCCGGCUAACUACGUGCCAGCAGCCGCGGUAAUACGUAGGGAGCGAGCUGUAUCCGGAAUUAUGGGGCGAAAAGGGUGCGUAGAUGGCAUAGUAAGUCUUUUGUAAAAAUGCUGGGCUCAACCCAGGAGGGCAAAAGAUACUGCAAAGCUAGAGUAUGACAGAGGCAAGUGGAACUACAUGUGUAGCGGUAAAAUGCGUAAAUAUAUGUAAGAACACCAGUGGCGAAGGCGGCUUGCUGGGUCGAUACUGACAUUGAGGCACGAAAGCGUGGGGAGCAAACAGGAUUAGAUACCCUUGUAGUC